rnacentral:rRNA from 1 species
GAGGAAUAUUGUUCAUGGGCCGCAGCCCUAAACCGGCAAGUAGCGUGAAAGAUGAAUGCCCCAUGGGUUGUAAACUUCUUUUAUUAGGGGAAUAAGGGAGGCACGUGUGGCCUUUUGGUUUUAACUUAGGGAUUAGCAUCGGCCAACUUCGUGCCAGCAGCCGCGGUAAUACGGAGGAUGCAAGCGUUAUCCGGAUUUAUUGGGUUUAAAGGGAGCGUAGGCGGACUAUUAAGUCAGCUGUGAAAGUUUACGGCUCAACCGUGAAAUUGCAGUUGAAACUGGUCGUCUUGAGUGCAGUAAAGGUGGGCGGAAUUCGUGGUGUAGCGGUGAAAUGCUUAGAUAUCACGAAGAACUCCAAUUGCGAAGGCAGCUCACUGGAGUGUAACUGACGCUGAUGCUCGAAAGUGUGGGUAUCAAACA